rnacentral:rRNA from 1 species
UACGUAGGGUGCGAGCGUUGUCCGGAAUUAUUGGGCGUAAAGAGCUCGUAGGCGGCUUGUCGCGUCGGAUGUGAAAGCCCGGGGCUUAACUCCGGGUCUGCAUUCGAUACGGGCAGGCUAGAGUUCGGUAGGGGAGAUCGGAAUUCCUGGUGUAGCGGUGAAAUGCGCAGAUAUCAGGAGGAACACCGGUGGCGAAGGCGGAUCUCUGGGCCGAUACUAACGCUGAGGAGCGAAAGCGUGGGGAGCGAACAGG